UGGACUCCAUCCUGGUGGGUGAGUCGUAGCAGGAGGAGGAGGAGGAAGAGGAGAAAGAGUCCUGUGGCGAGUAGCUGUUGUAAUCCAUGGGGUUGGAGAGCUUCAACGACUCUGGUGGGGAACAGGGAGCCUGAAAGAGCAAAAGGGUGAGGAUUAUUAUUCUGAGCAGGAUUUGGCAAAAGAGUCACGUGAUGGACAGCAACCUGACACAAGGCCAAAGGCUCAACAAGGAUGCCUACACUUCACAUGGAUGUUGCUGCUGAACUUACUUGGAAAAGUGGAUGCGCAAAGAUCCUGAAGAUCCGAGCAUGCCUGGGAUAUCAACUAUAGAAGAAGAAGAAAGGGAGAAACACAUGAUUAUUAGACGUUUUCCUCUUAAAAUAUUUGGAUAUGACUUUGACAGGAGAAAAUGCAACAAAAUGAUUUCCAGAUGAAAAUCCGACUUGAAACUCACCAGACAUGAUGGCAGAGAUGGAAGAGAGGCUCCCUGGAGAAGACCUGUGGGACUCCACAACGUCCUUUUCUGCCUCAGCAAAAUGGCCAAGAACGAAAUUUACGCAAAAGUCUCCAAAAAUCUCAACACAAAUGUCUUACAGCAGAGUCAGAGCAUACAACAAUAUUGUAAUAUAGCUGGGGACAUAUUAGUUUGAGAUUUUCUCCCUCCAUGCCUACUAUUUAAAACCCCUAGAACUCAAUGAUUUGACAAUGAUUUGAUUGCGCGUUACUUUCAAUUUGAAUAUUCAGAGGCAACCGAGUUUUAUCGAUUUUUUAAUAAAAAACACCACGCAUUGACAUUAAAGAAGCUCUACUUUAAUAUAAUAUAGUAAUAUUUUACAUUUUCACCAAAAAGAAAUCAUACUUUUAUUAAUUUUAUCCUCCUUUUGCAAUAUGACAGCAUCACACCCCCUUAUUAAGCACUGCAGCACUUGGUGCUCCUUGUGCCACUUUAUCACAGUGGUUGACUUUUUACCUGCGACCAUACAGUUAGUGCGGCCAGUCUGCACGCCGAAAAUAUAUUAAAUCAUAUCUUUAAGCUUUAUUUCGCACAAAAACACAUAAAAGUGGCAAAGAAGUGGGCGGGGCAAAGGGCAGUAGCCAUCUUUGGCAUCGCAGGCCUUGAGAUCCUGCAGCAAGUGCUGUAAGUGCACUCACCUGCUGCAGUCUGAGGGAGAACAAUCAGCAGCUUUUAGAUAUUUUAUUUUUCUUUCAUCUUUUAGACACUUUGAAUGAGGGAAAAAUAAAAUGUAUUUAAGAUGAAUGGAAGUUCCCAGUAAAGCUCCACAGAUUGUCAGGGUUUUAAAUAUACCUCCUUAAAUCAACUCCAGUUCUCUUUUGUUCCACAUUUAUCACAGCUGUACAACAUAAAAAACAAAAUACUUUUAUUUUCACAUUAUCUACACAAACUGGAAACCCCAAAAAGUUUUAGACAACGUCCCAACUUUUAUUUUGGAAUCGAGGCCGCGUUAAGUAGAAGCAACAAUAUAUUUAAAAUGAUAUUUACAUUUAUCAGCUUGUAGGAUAUGCUACAGUUUACUUCUGCUGGUUUUAGAAUGUGUUUAAUCACAUUAUAAGUUAAUAAAUUAUGACAUUUAACAUACAUAUUGCUCAUUUUAAACUAAAUGAUGUCAUAUAAAUACUUGGAGUCCGUAAGGUGGUCCAGCUAUUAUUAUUCUUAAUAUUAUUUUUACAAUUAUGAUUGUUAUUAUUCAUAUAAUAAUAAUGU